GGGGAUUUAGCUUAGUGGUAGAGCGCUUGCCUAGCAAGCGCAAGGCCCUGGGUUCGGUUCCCAGCUCCG
rnacentral:tRNA from 1 species